rnacentral:rRNA from 1 species
GAUGAACGCUGGCGGCGUGCCUAAUACAUGCAAGUCGAGCGAACAGAUGAGGAGCUUGCUCCUCUGACGUUAGCGGCGGACGGGUGAGUAACACGUGGAUAACCUACCUAUAAGACUUGGAUAACUUCGGGAAACCGGAGCUAAUACCGGAUAAUAUAUUGAACCGCAUGGUUCAAUAGUGAAAGACGGUUUUGCUGUCACUUAUAGAUGGAUCCGCGCGGCAUUAGCUAGUUGGUAAGGUAACGGCUUACCAAGGCAACGAUGCGUAGCCGACCUGAGAGGGUGAUCGGCCACACUGGAACUGAGACACGGACCAGACUCCUACGGGAGGCAGCAGUAGGGAAUCUUACGCAAUGGGCGAAAGCCUGACGGAGCAACGCCGCGUGAGUGAUGAAGGUCUUCGGAUCGUAAAACUCUGUUAUUAGGGAAGAACAAAUGUGUAAGUAACUAUGCACGUCUUGACGGUACCUAAUCAGAAAGCCACGGCUAACUACGUG